GCCGAAAUAGCUCAGGUGGGAGAGCGUCAGACUGAAGGUUUGAAUGUCCCUGGUUCAAUUGCGGGUUUCGGCA